rnacentral:rRNA from 1 species
CAACGAGCGCAACCCCUAUCCUUAGUUGCCAGCGAUUCGGUCGGGAACUCUAGGGAGACUGCCGGUGAUAAACCGGAGGAAGGUGGGGACGACGUCAAGUCAUCAUGGCCCUUACGAGUAGGGCUACACACGUGCUACAAUGGUACGUACAGAGGGAGGCAAGCUGGCGACAGUGAGCGGAUCUCUUAAAGCGUAUCGUAGUCCGGAUCGCAGUCUGCAACUCGACUGCGUGAAGUCGGAAUCGCUAGUAAUCGCAAAUCAGAAUGUUGCGGUGAAUACGUUCCCGGGCCUUGUACACACCGCCCGUCACACCAUGGGAGUGGGUUGCAAAAGAAGUAGGUAGCUUAA